rnacentral:rRNA from 1 species
UACGUAGGGGGCAAGCGUUAUCCGGAUUUACUGGGUGUAAAGGGAGCGUAGACGGCAGAGCAAGUCUGAAGUGAAAGCCCGCGGCCCAACUGCGGGACUGCUUUGGAAACUGCCCGGCUAGAGUGCUGGAGAGGUAAGCGGAAUUCCUAGUGUAGCGGUGAGAUGCGUAGAUAUUAGGAGGAACACCAGUGGCGAAGGCGGCCUACUGGACAGUAACUGACGUUGAGGCUCGAAAGCGUGGGGAGCAAACAGG